AUUCAGUUGCACAAAAUAAUUUGCCACGUAUCAACUCAACGGACGAAGCCAUUUGACGCUUAACUUAUCAGAACGUUAAGAAAUCUGAAAGAUCGAAUGUUCAAAGCUUCACCUUCGACCAGUAAAAGAUAAAUCAAACGAAGUUACAAUUCCAAACAAGAACAAUAUGCUUACCAAAAACAAAUCACUGCCGUCGUAACCAAGAGAUGGAAUCGUCAGGAAUAAGAAAUCUGUCGUACAUUCAGCAAAUAAUUAAUGUGGUACAAAAGGAACUUGCUCAGUUUUUCAUUAAACAAUGGAAUUCUCGUUACAAAUCAACUAAUGGAGAAUGGGAUGAUACAGAGAACAGUGGUAACAAAUUUUACACUUUGGAAGCAGGAAGAAAAAUAGACCAAAAAACACGACAAAAA